rnacentral:rRNA from 1 species
UACGGGGGGGGGCAAGCGUUGUUCGGAAUUACUGGGCGUAAAGGGCCAGUAGGCGGCCAACUAAGUCCGACGUGAAAUCCCAAGGCUUAACCUUGGAACUGCGUCGGAUACUGGAUGGCUUGAAUUCGGGAGAGGGAUGCAGAAUUCCAGGUGUAGCAGUGAAAUGCGUAGAUAUCAGGAGGAAUACCGAUGGCGAAGGCAGGUCUGCUGGGCUGACACUGACGCUCAUGCACGAAAGCGUGGGGAGCGAACAGG